UUAAAUGAUAGAGGCGCGGUAUUUAUCAGUACAUAAUAACUUAAGCAGGGCAGCUGUUAUUAUUGAAAGGAAAUAUCGCCGAAGUUCAGGCUUUGCACCAGGGUCUGUUCUGGGGUAUCGUAGAAUAUGCGAUACACUGUCACAUCGAGUGGAGCGCUAUCUUGGUU
rfam:Clostridium hiranonis DSM 13275 Scfld3 genomic scaffold, whole genome shotgun sequence.